AGGACAGUAGCUCGAAUUGGUAGAGCGGUUGACUCCAAAUCAAUAGGUUGAGGGUUCGAAUCCUUCCUGUCCUGCCA
rnacentral:tRNA from 1 species